rnacentral:rRNA from 1 species
CCUACGGGCGGCAGCAGGGGGGAAUAUUGGGCAAUGGGCGCAAGCCUGACCCAGCAACGCCGCGGGAAGGAAGAAGGCUGUCGGGUUGUAAACUUCUUUUCUCAGGGACGAAGAAAGUGACGGUACCUGAGGAAUAAGCCACGGCUAACUACGGGCCAGCAGCCGCGGGAAUACGUAGGUGGCAAGCGUUAUCCGGAUUUAUUGGGUGUAAAGGGCGUGUAGGCGGGAGCGCAAGUCAGAUGUGAAAACUCAGGGCUCAACCCUGAGCCUUCAUUUGAAACUGUGUUUCUUGAGUGCUGGAGAGUCAAUCGGCAUUCCGUGUGUAGCGGUGACAUGCGUCGAUAUACGG